rfam:TPA: Bos taurus chromosome 1, whole genome shotgun sequence.
UCCCUCAUAGCUCAGUCGGUAAAGAAUCUGCCUGUAAUGCAGGAGGCCCGGAUUCGAUUCCUGGGUUGGGAA